GCGCACCAGGCGCGAAACUUUACAAUGUGCGAAGCACGAUAAGGGAACUCUGAGUGCCUCCUAAGGAGGCUGUUCUGAUGUCUAAAAGCAACAGAAGUAAGGGCUGGGUAAGACCGGUGCCAGCCGCCGCGGUAACACCGGCAGCCCAAGUGGUAGCCACGUUUAUUGGGUCUAAAGCGUUCGUAGCCGGCCAGGUAAGUUCCUUGGUAAAUUUAGCCGCUUAACGGUUAAGCUUUCAGGGAAUACUGCUUGGCUUGGGACUGGGAGAGGUCAGAGGUACUCCGGGGGUAGGGUGAAAUCUAUUAAUCCCUGGGGGACCACCGGUAGCGAAGGCGUCUGACCAGACCAGGUCCGACGGUGAGGGACGAAGGCUAGGGGGCGCGAACCGGAUUAGAUACCCGUGUAGU
rnacentral:rRNA from 1 species